rnacentral:rRNA from 1 species
UGGGGAAUUUUGGACAAUGGGCGAAAGCCUGAUCCAGCAAUGCCGCGUGUGUGAAGAAGGCCUUCGGGUUGUAAAGCACUUUUGUCCGGAAAGAAAUCCUUGGCUCUAAUACAGUCGGGGGAUGACGGUACCGGAAGAAUAAGCACCGGCUAACUACGUGCCAGCAGCCGCGGUAAUACGUAGGGUGCAAGCGUUAAUCGGAAUUACUGGGCGUAAAGCGUGCGCAGGCGGUUUGCUAAGACCGAUGUGAAAUCCCCGGGCUCAACCUGGGAACUGCAUUGGUGACUGGCAGGCUAGAGUAUGGCAGAGGGGGGUAGAAUUCCACGUGUAGCAGUGAAAUGCGUAGAGAUGUGGAGGAAUACCGAUGGCGAAGGCAGCCCCCUGGGCCAAUACUGACGCUCAUGCACGAAAGCGUGGGGAGCAAACAGGAUUAGAUACCCUGGUAGUCCACGCCCUAAACGAUGUCAACUAGUUGUUGGGGAUUCAUUUCCUUAGUAACGUAGCUAACGCGUGAAGUUGACCGCCUGGGGAGUACGGUCGCAGGAUUAAAACUCAAAGGAAUUGACGGGGUCAUAGCUGUUUCCU